rnacentral:rRNA from 1 species
AUUUUUAGCAAUAGAGAUCCUAGAGUGUCGUAAGGGUGCGUAACACGUAUGCAAUCUGCCCUCAACAGGAGAAUAGCUCCCCGAAAGGGGAAUUAACACUCCGUAAGAUUGUGGUUCGGCAUCGGACAGCAAUUAAAACUACGGUGGUUGAGGAUGAGCAUGCGCAUGAUUAGUUAGUUGGCGGGGUAACGGCCCACCAAGACGAUGAUCAUUAGGGGAACUGAGAGGUUGAUCCCCCACACUGGCACUGAGAUACGGGCCAGACUCCUACGGGAGGCAGCAGUAGGGAAUAUUGGACAAUGGGUGCGAGCCUGAUCCAGCCAUGCCGCGUGCAGGAAGACGGCCUUCUGGGUUGUAAACUGCUUUUGCCAGGGGAUAAAACGUCUCUGCGGAGAUAAUUGAAGGUACCUGGUGAAUAAGCCACGGCUAACUACGUGCCAGCAGCCGCGGUAAUACGUAGGGUGCAAGCGUUAAUCGGAAUUACUGGGCGCAAAGCGUGCGCAGGCGGUUAUGCAAGACAGAUGUGAAAUCCCCGGGCUUAACCUGGGAACUGCAUUUGUGACUGCAUAGCUAGAGUGCGGCAGAGGGGGAUGGAAUUCCGCGUGUAGCAGUGAAAUGCGUAGAUAUGCGGAGGAACACCGAUGGCGAAGGCAACCCCCUGGGCUGAUACUGACACUCAUGCACGAAAGCGUGGGGAGCAAACAGGAUUAGAUACCCUGGUAGUCCACGCCCUAAACGAUGUCAACUAGUUGUUGGGCUUUUC